rnacentral:lncRNA from 1 species
UUUUUUUUUUUUUUUUACAUCUGACACUUUUUAAUGAUUUCCUCCAGAUUAAUGUUUUCUAAGACAUAUUUCAUAAGUUACAACACAAAGACCCUAAAAGAGGAAAAAGGCUAGAGAGCAUUAGUUAAUCUCAGUUAAUUUUGGAGAUCUAAGCAUUUACCUUCUUAUGUGUAUGGUUGGUUGGUUUGUUGUAUUACACUAUAAAAUUCAGACACUUGAAGACAUCACAAUUUAGGCACUUUGGAUGAUCCACUCUUCAUAAUAGUAUGAAUACUACCAAUCUUCCAAUAGUUAUUGUUAUUAGUGUUUUCAUAAUAAUAGUGAUAAGUUUUUCAAUUCUGUACAUAUGCCGACUAUCCCCUCACCUGGAUUGUACAUUACAUUUUCAAGUUAUUUUUAACAAUAGGCCUGGGAGCAGACAGAAAAAGAAAAAAGAAAGAAAUUGAUGGCUGAGGAAGUCAGCAUGUGAAUAGAAAUAAGAUUCUAUGGAUUGCACUUAUGCUAACAAAAAAGAGACCCAAACUCAGGGACUUACAGCAUUCUGCCUACAGCCAAGGUCAGAGUUUGGUUCCUGUCCAGAGAGACUUUCUGGGGCUUCUCUGUUCCACCAGAAGACAAAAUGGAGAUAACUCCCACCAUACCCUGUCUCCUAUUAUAGCUUUGUGCAGAUUAACUAAUUAAAGUUACGAAGAGAUUUAAAGAUAAAAAUCCCUGUUUAUUAUUGCUAUUAGUCCUCAGAGUUGGCACCAAAUCAGGAAAAAACGAUAAAAAUCACCUCUGUCCCAAAAUUUUGCAUUCUUAGAAAUGAUUCCUACAAAGUAUCACUAUAAAUUAGGCUAAAUGGUUUUUUGACUGCAAGCACUUACAAGCUGGAUUUAUGAAUGGAAAUAUGUGAAGGCCACUCUGUCCAGCUCUGUAGCCCCAUACUUUCUCCCCGGACUAUUUAUAGAAAGUGUAUGGCUAGUGGAAAAGUUCACAUUUAUUUUUACAAGCCAGUCAUGACAUGACCGAAGAACUCACUUCCUCUCUCUCGGAAGGUCAUCCUCUUCACCUGAGCUGCAAGAAGGGCAGGGAAGAAAGGAACCCCAUUAGCCAACUAAGUCAGUCUGAGUCAGCCCCAGAGACCAACCCACGGGGUGACAGGCACUGAAGUCAAACACCUUCAUUUUCCAGGCAUGACUCUAUGGCUGCUCUUUGAGAUGUCAUCCAGAUCAUGACUAACAAGUAAAAAUGAAACAUAUUACAUAAUAUGCCUCAAAAUUCUACUGCCAAAAUAGGUUGUACAUAGAUAAUGGAGUGAAUUCUUAUUUAUAAUUUGUCCUACAUUUCAAACAGCUGAACACAAUAAAGUAAAACUGAAUUUUAAUGUGGCAAAAUGGAAAAUGUGAAAAAUAUUUUAAAAUAUAUAUUGUCCUGAUUGCUGCAUUACCUUGAAAUAUGUAAUAAACCUGGAUAGUUCCAUGCAAAUGGGGAGAUUCAAAGUAAACA